GAGGUGUAGGACGAGGUGAGGGAGGAGGAAGUGAGAACAUGAGCUUAGAGAACGGAGUGGAAAGAGGUGAGAUGAUCAGAAAAAUGAGAAGAGGAAGGUGAGUUGGAGGAAGGAGGUGAAUAAACAGGACCCUGCGGGGUGGGCUGGUAGGAACGAAUAACCAAAGAAUAUAAACAUAAUGUAUUAUUACACUUGUUUAGCCAGGAAAGCCCCACUGAGUCUAAAGGUUUUUGUAGGGUCCUGCCAAGUGUUUGCAGUAGGGGGCGAUGUUGCUACACCGAAUCGGACGAUACGAAGGGAGAGAUUGAGGCCUAGUUCUAGGCUUUAGGCCUAGCUGUAGGCUUUAGGCCGCCGUGAGUUAAUUUUAAAAUUAAAUGUUUUAAUGAUUUAUGUAAAAGCUUUAAAUUUAAAUGUUUCUAUUUAAAAGCAUCAGGGAAUGUAACAUUGUUAAACAUUAACUCCCUUGCACACACGCGGGGGUACGAUACGAAGGGAGAGUUUGAGGCGUAGUUCGAGGCUUUAGGCCUAGCUGUAGGCUUUAGGGCGCUGUGAGUAAAAUUUGAAUUUAAAAGUUUUAAUUAAAAGCUAUCAGGGAAUUAUAAGGGAAUGUUACACUUGUUUAGCCAGGAAAGCCUCAUUAAUUUAAAUGUUUUAAUUAAAAGCUAUCUGAGGGAAUUAUAAGGGAAUGUCACUUGUUUAGCCAGGAAAGCGUCACUGAGUCUAAAGGUUUUUGUAGGGUCAUGCCAAGUGUUUGCAGUAGGGGGCGAUGUUGCUACACGGACGGACGGACAUCGGACGGACGAUAUAAUCUAUUGUAGGCUGGUCCACUUCGUUCCUACCAGUAUAACGUGCAAAGUGAAGGCUCAGAGCAGGGAGGAGGUGGCACAUCUUACCGGUACGAGUUCGCAUCGUGUCACUGCGCCUUCACGCAACUCACAAUGAUGUACACUAUCCACUGCUGGAUGAGGGCCUCCCCGUGCCUUUGGUUUAUUUGACCUUAGUCCACCACUGUGGUCAGUGUCGGUGGGCAGUAAAGAUGUGGGAGCAAACAGGACAGCACUCGUGUUACAGACACGUGUGUCAGUGUAAUGUGCACGUGUGUACACGCACGUGGAGAGAACAAAAGUGAGAGUACACCGGUACAGUAUAUCAUAGGCGACGUUUCAGGAUAUGCCCUACUCGGGUGUAGGCAGGAGACGUAUACCGCUGAGAUAGAACGAUGAAAUCAGCUCAGCAACUGAGAUAACGCUGGCUUGAGUAUGCCUUCAUCCAGCAGCGGAUAAAUCAUGGCUGAUGAUGACGAGGGUUUUAACUGUUGGUGGGUGGCCUGACUUGUUAACGAAAGCGAGCUCACCUCUUCACUCAUCAGUCCUGUAUCCACCCUCGAGAGAAACUCAUGUCCAGUACAAAUAUUCGUUGAAGCAAUUUAUUUCAGGAGUAUCGGGGAAUAGUUAUGAUUAAUCUCGUGGACAAGACGAGUUAUUUGCACGGCUCUGCUGAUACCCCCUGCAUGGACGCCAGCCAGAGUGAGUGUCGCUGACUUUGUGCACCUCGUCAGUCGUGGCCGCGUGAUGAGAGGCUUACUCAUGCGAGGCCAUCCAUCGGCGCUGCUCCGGACCUGGCACUGCCUGACCGUUUCCUGGUGGCGAGGGCUCUAAUUCCCCCUCGCCUCCCUCAUAUCAGGCUCAGAGCCACGCAACUCGACAGCGCCUGGCACGGCUCCCAGAGUUGUGGGAACGCUGCUGCUGGGUCUCGAGUGCUACAGUCCCUCCAUGGAGUUUCCACUCUUCUCCAGCUCUCACGCUUCGUUCUUUCUUUGUUUCUCUGUCGCGCUCCUGUAAACGUAUCUUCCUCCCACUGUUUACUUCUUCACUGCUUAAAUUGCCAGCCGGCGGUGGCCACUUGGCCAUUGAGCACACGGUUUGUCACUUCUGAUGGCCACGACUGAUGAUGAGUUCCUGGCUUUCGAUCAAAUUGUGAAUCGCCUCUUCCGCUGUGUGUAUGUUGAACUUAUUUUGCUUAACCAACCAUUUAACCCGUAGGCUUUCGCGACCAAUAUUAUUCAUAAUAAAGGUUUGUGGGUUAGAUCGCGUAUGUGUCGUAACCCUCCACCACCCGACACAGCCAAUUAGUAAGGGAUUUGUCACGUAAACAAAACGCCAAUCAGUUACUACUUCAGCCCACUGGUGUGUUGGAUAGUAAAUCCACAACAUUUACAAUUUUAGUACGACGUUUCGCUGGUAAUUGCCUGUAUCCAGCAUCAUCGGGCGAUUUGCCAGAAUAGCCAACCAUGUGAAUCGGAGGUGCAGGGGAAGGACAAGCUAAAUACAAAACGCAGUUCUAAAGAAAUUAGUUUUAAAUCUAAAUGUAAAAAUGCUCUAGUGAAUUCCUGAUAUUGGAAGGAGCGUUCUGGAUGGCUGCAGAAGCGCAUCUGAAAGCACGCAACCACAAGAACUUGCAACUCCGUGCAACAACUCGAUGUUUAUACAACAGCGUGUUGGGUUUUGUGGCACGAUUACCAAGCUCGAGGUGUAAACAGAGCUCUGUUGAUUCAUGCUUUUUAAGGAGUUGACUGCGUGUCACAAGUUUGAUGUUUGACUUUACGCACAGUCUGGAAACAGGUCCCAAGACCUGGAUUCAGGAGGUGGUGAACGUCUGCAUGCCUCGUUUUUCUGAUGUGGAGCAGUAUGGAGACCCCUUGGAUAAGAUCUUACCAAAUAGCACCGUGAAUGCGCCAGAUUUCUUCACCUGUAGGAAGCUAAACAGAUGUGAGCCUGCUCAGGACUGCGAUGGGUGGCCACCUGGAGUUUCCAGGUGAAGGACUGGGGCUGCGAGGUGACCGGGAGAUUGAAGAUCAGAAAUGCAUUCUUAAAUUUCUGUGUUUUUGUCAUUUUGGUGACCCAGGUUACUUGCAAAUGACUUGAUCUCAAAAUAAACUUGAAACUUGAACUUA